rnacentral:rRNA from 1 species
AGGGUUUGAUUAUGGCUCAGGAUGAACGCUGGCGGCGUGCUUAACACAUGCAAGUCGAGCGAAGCGAUUUAAAUGAGACUUCGGUGGAUUUUAAAUUGACUGAGCGGCGGACGGGUGAGUAACGCGUGGAUAACCUGCCUCACACAGGGGGAUAACAGUUAGAAAUGACUGCUAAUACCGCAUAAGCGCACGGUACCGCAUGGUACAGUGUGAAAAACUCCGGUGGUGUGAGAUGGAUCCGCGUCUGAUUAGGUAGUUGGUGAGGUAACGGCCCACCAAGCCGACGAUCAGUAGCCGACCUGAGAGGGUGACCGGCCACAUUGGGACUGAGACACGGCCCAA